rnacentral:lncRNA from 1 species
UUUUUCCAAGGGUUUAGGGGUUUACCCAAGGAUUUAGGGUUUACCCAAGGAUUUAUGGUUUAGGAUUUGAGUUUAGGGUUUAGUAUUAGAGUUUAGGGUUUUUUUCCAAGGGUUUAGGGGUUUACCCAAGGAUUUAGGGUUUACCCAAGGAUUUAGGGUUUAGGAUUUGAGUUUAGAGUUUAGUAUUAGAGUUUAGGGUUUACUGUUUUGUUGACAACAUUUUUUUUUUUUGAAUUCGUUUUUUAUAUAUUAUUUUUAUUUAUUUUAAAAUUUUAUUUUGAAAAAAUAAUAUAAUUUGCCAAGUUAUUUGGUUUUCUUAAUUAAAAGAU